UGCGUAGGGGGCAAGCGUUGUCCGGAAUCAUUGGGCGUAAAGCGCGUGUAGGCGGCCCGGUAAGUCCGCUGUGAAAGUCGGGGGCUCAACCCUCGAAUGCCGGUGGAUACUGUCGGGCUAGAGUGCGGGAGAGGCGAGUGGAAUUCCUGGUGUAGCGGUGAAAUGCGCAGAUAUCAGGAGGAACACCAAUUGCGAAGGCAGCUCGCUGGAACGUAACUGACGCUGAGACGCGAAAGCGUGGGGAGCAAACAGG
rnacentral:rRNA from 1 species